UGGCAGUGGGAAUGCUUUCUUUUGCUCAGUAGUUUGGGUGUAGCGAAAUCUAGUUCUACUCCGGUUUGUCUCUUUUGCUUUAAUCUUCUGGAUUUGGAGUUCUUUUGGCUUUUGGGAAAGAGAAACGGAGGAGGGCACAAAUAUUGUAAUACAACUAUGUGUACUCCCCUCCCCCUUUCCCCUGUACACUCCCGUCCUCCAGUAACUUC
rnacentral:lncRNA from 1 species